rnacentral:ncRNA from 1 species
CCACGUGACACGGGGUGCCCCGCGAGGGGCUGAGAGAACACCCGUCGAACCUGAUCUAGUUCGUACUAGCGAAGGGAUGUCGCGCCUAUGCCGC